rnacentral:rRNA from 1 species
UACGUAGGGUGCGAGCGUUAAUCGGAAUUACUGGGCGUAAAGCGUGCGCAGGCGGUUUUGUAAGCCAGAUGUGAAAUCCCCGGGCUUAACCUGGGAAUGGCAUUUGGGACUGCAAGGCUUGAGUGCGGCAGAGGAGACUGGAAUUCCCGGUGUAGCAGUGAAAUGCGUAGAUAUCGGGAAGAACACCAGUGGCGAAGGCGGCUAUCUGGACGGUUUCUGACGCUAAGACGCGAAAGCGUGGGGAGCAAACAGG